UGGGAUGUAACUCAACGGUAGAGCUCUUACCUAGCAUGUAUGAGGCUCUGGGUUCCAUCCCCAGCAGCCAAA
rfam:Ictidomys tridecemlineatus contig041107, whole genome shotgun sequence.